GUUGACAUCUUCAAGGACUUCUCUGCCAUGAUGAAGUGGGCCUUCAAACUGUGAUGGAACUAGAGCUCUUCAUUUAUUUGUUGGCCUCUUGUCAGGACACUGAGAGUAACAGUCAGAGCAUUCACUAAUAUGAUGAAUUUCAAGGACCAGUGAGAGAACUUCUGGUCAGAGAAUUGACAUUACUCCUCUGCAUUUGUAGGUGAACUGACUUUGCUCCUCUGUGUUUGCACUUGUAGGACCAAUUUCUGCUGCUCAAAAUGUUCUUGGAUGUGUGUUCUUGCACUGGAACAAGGUCGAAUAACCAGGGGCUGCAUCCUCAGAGAAAGCUGACAUUUCCUCACCCAGCAGCUAACAACCUUUUCUCACGUUUUGUGCAUCUCUUGGUAUCAGAGAAACCAAACAGUUCCUGGAUUCUGAGGUGCCCUGGUGUCCUUUCUGGGAUUCUCCCAGCACUACCAGCUGACAGAGUGAUGGAAGCUGCCAAGGAGAGCAUCUCAGGAAAGAUCCUAAACAUAUUAGCCAAGAAGAUUCUAAGAUUGCAUCUUUUUGUGCUUCUAAGCUGUAUUCUGAAGAGUUGAGGUAGCACUAGACAGUGUUUUGUUUCAAACUGAUCUACUAGUUAUAUAAAAUCAAAUUAUAUUCUUGGCAGAAAACGCAUGUCAUUUUGGCAUGCAAAUCUGAGAGACCAAUGCUCAGCAAAAACAAUGACUUUGGAAUAUAUAUAUAUAUUUAAUAUAUAUAUUAAAUUCUUGAAUUCUUGGUUAAUUCUCUGAUUCCCUUUUCCUUAUAGACAAAUGGUUCUCAAUCUAUGGGCCAUGAUGACCUGAGGGAAUCAAAUGACUUUUACAGGGCUCACAUAUUAGAUAUCUUGCAUAUCAGAUAUUUAUAUUAUGAUUCAUUACAGUAACAAAACUACAGUUAUGAAGUAGCAAAAAAGAAA